rnacentral:hammerhead_ribozyme from 1 species
AUCCAGCUGACGUAUCCAGAAUAGGAAGAGACGCGCUUUCUGGAU